rnacentral:rRNA from 1 species
UACAGAGGGUGCGAGCGUUAAUCGGAAUUACUGGGCGUAAAGCGCACGUAGUCGGCUUUGCAAGUCGGGUGUGAAAUCCCCGGGCUCAACCUGGGAACUGCAUCCGAGACUGCAUUGCUAGAGUACGGCAGAGGGGGAUGGAAUUCCGCGUGUAGCAGUGAAAUGCGUAGAUAUGCGGAGGAACACCGAUGGCGAAGGCAAUCCCCUGGGCCUGUACUGACGCUCAUGCACGAAAGCGUGGGGAGCAAACAGG